rnacentral:piRNA from 1 species
AUUGGGUGGCACUGUACACUUGGC